rnacentral:rRNA from 1 species
GACGAACGCUGGCGGCGUGCCUAAUACAUGCAAGUCGAACGCUGAAGAGAGGAGCUUGCUCUUCUUGGAUGAGUUGCGAACGGGUGAGUAACGCGUAGGUAACCUGCCUUGUAGCGGGGGAUAACUAUUGGAAACGAUAGCUAAUACCGCAUAACAAUGGAUGACACAUGUCAUUUAUUUGAAAGGGGCAAUUGUUCCACUACAAGAUGGACCUGCGUUGUAUUAGCUAGUAGGUGAGGUAAUGGCUCACCUAGGCGACGAUACAUAGCCGACCUGAGAGGGUGAUCGGCCACACUGGGACUGAGACACGGCCCAGACUCCUACGGGAGGCAGCAGUAGGGAAUCUUCGGCAAUAGGGGCAACCCUGACCGAGCAACGCCGCGUGAGUGAAGAAGGUUUUCGGAUCGUAAAGCUCUGUUGUAAGUCAAGAACGGGUGUGAGAGUGGAAAGUUCACACUGUGACGGUAGCUGACCAGAAAGGGACGGCUAACUACGUG